GUCUAGAGCCACGCCACCCUGAACUUGAACUCCCAUCCUGAUCUUAUCUGAUCUCGGAAGCUAAGCAGGGUCGGGCCGGGUUAGUACUUGGAAGGGAGACCGCCUAGAAAGACCAGGCGCUGUAGGCG
ensembl:rRNA 5S_rRNA 5S ribosomal RNA